GAUCAUGGCUCAGGAUGAACGCUGGCGGCGUGCUUAACACAUGCAAGUCGAGCGAAGCACUUAAGUUUGAUUCUUUCGGAUGAAGACUUUUGUGACUGAGCGGCGGACGGGUGAGUAACGCGUGGGUAACCUGCCUCAUACAGGGGGAUAACAGUUAGAAAUGGCUGCUAAUACCGCAUAAGACCACGGUACUGCAUGGUACAGUGGUAAAAACUCCGGUGGUAUGAGGAUGGACCCGCGU
rnacentral:rRNA from 1 species